UAUCUCUGUAGAGUCUGCAUAUCAAUAAGCGGAGGAAAAGAAACUAACGAGGAUUCCCCUAGUAACGGCGAGUGAAGCGGGAAGAGCUCAAAUUUGAAAUCUUCAAGGUUUGACCUUGACGAAUUGUAGUUUAAAGAAGUGUUUUCGGUUAGAGGAGUAGUAAAAGUUCUUUGGAAUAGGACAUCAUAGAGGGUGAGAAUCCCGUAUUUGACUAUUCUUUCUAGCUUUGUGAUACACUUUCAAAGAGUCGGAUUGUUUGGGAAUGCAGUCCAAAAUGGGUGGUAAAUUUCAUCUAAAGCUAAAUAUUGGCGAGAGACCGAUAGCGAACAAGUACCGUGAGGGAAAGAUGAAAAGAACUUUGAAAAGAGAGUUAAACAGUACGUGAAAUUGUCAAAAGGGAAGCGUUUGACACCAGUGUUGUUUUUUCUCGAAAAUCAAUUAAAAAUUGAUUCAUGCCAGGUUGUAUUGACCUUAUCAGCUUGCAAUUUGGUUUCUGGGUCUCUUUUUGAUGCACUUUUCGGUUAACAAGUCAACAUCAAUUUCCUUUGCUGUAAAAAGGUAAGAGGAAGGUGGCUUCAAUUUCGGUUGAAGUGUUUAUAGCCUUUUAUCUCUGCAGUCGGGGAGAUUGAGGUCUGCAGCGUAGAUCCUUCGGGGCUAGAUACAUUUAUGCUAAGUUAUAGCUUUUCAUAGACAACUUGUUGACUAUGUUUAGUCAUGUAGCUUACUCGUAAGUGCUAUCUUACCUACGCUUAGGAUGUUGAAGACUCUACAGAGAUA
rnacentral:rRNA from 1 species